CAAAACAUGGCUUCUUGUGGCCUAAAAAUAAGGAGUCAGACCUGCCCAGUGAAAUUUUUCAACGGCCGCGGUACUCUGACCGUGCAAAGGUAGCAUAAUCAUUUGCCUUAUAAUUGAAGGCUAGUAUGAAUGGUUCGACAAGAACAUAGCUGUCUCUUUUUGACCCAAUAAAACUUUAUCUUAAGGUGAAGAAGCCUUAAUAAAAUUAAAAGACAAGAAGACCCUGUCGAGCUUUAAAACAGUUAGAAGAUAUUAGUUAAUACCCAAUAAAAAACUAACUUCUAAAAAUUUUGGUUGGGGCGACCAAGGAACAAAAAAAGCUUCCUUUAAAAGACAAAACACACUUGUAUUGAUCCUAAAUUUUUGAUUAAAGAAAUUAGUUACCGCAGGGAUAACAGCAUUAUCUUUUUCAAGAGCUCCUAUCGAAAAAAAGGUUUGUGACCUCGAUGUUGGACCAGAAUACCCCAAAGGUGCAGAAGCCUUUAAAGGUUGGUCUGUUCGACCAUUAAAAUUCUACGUGAUC
rnacentral:rRNA from 1 species